rnacentral:rRNA from 1 species
UGGGGAAUUUUGCACAAUGGGGGAAACCCUGAUGCAGCGACGCCGCGUGAUUUAGAAGGCCUUCGGGUUGUAAAAAUCUUUUCUAUGGGAAGAAAAUGACAGUACCAUAGGAAUAAGGACCGGCUAAUUACGUGCCAGCAGCCGCGGUAAUACGUAAGGUCCGAGCGUUGUCCGGAAUCAUUGGGCGUAAAGGGUACGUAGGCGGGUAAGCAAGUUAGAAGUGAAAUCCUAUAGCUCAACUAUAGUAAGCUUUUAAAACUGCUCAUCUUGAGGUAUGGAAGGGACAGUGGAAUUCCUAGUGUAGCGGUGAAAUGCGCAGAUAUUAGGAGGAAUACCGGUGGCGAAGGCGACUUUCUGGCCAUAACCUGACGCUGAGGUACGAAAGCGUGGGUAGCAAACAGG